GCUCUGGAGCCUGGGAGCCAUACAGGGUUGUUGGUACCUUAGAGCAUACCGGACUUGCAGAAAAAGCAUCCUCUAGGAAGCUGAAGCAUGACGGCCCAAGCUCCAGCAAUUUAUGUGCAAUUUUCCUCUGACAGUUCCUGUUGCCACGGGGAUAAAGACCAGGCAGUGUCCGUAUCUAUUUGUAACAGUAAGAGAAGCUCUGCAGUCACAGUUGGGAUAUUGUUUAACAGAUGGUGUGCUUUCUUUUGCACACUACUGCUGCCAAU